AUUCUACCAAAAAUAAAAUUUUAUAAAAAUCUAUUAAUUUCUUUCAUCACAGAACUAGAGUGAGAAAUCACACCAUUGAGAAGGUAGAUCGAUCAGUUCUACAAGAGUGCCCAUAUUUUUCCUGAAGAGAGAAAGUAUCAAUUUCUUUGCAGUGAAGGAGGAAGAAAGAGAGACUCCUACCAUGAGGGACAUGGCUAUGUUGCGUGGGUUGAGAUUGAAGGAGAAAAAUAUUUUUUGGGGAUUGGUUUUUAUCAUUCUUAUCCAUGGAAUAGUUGAUGGAAAACUUGUGCAUGGAGAAAAGUUGAUUGAAAUAAAUAAGAAGCUAAAGCAAAUCAAUCGCCCUGCAGUGAGGAGCAUUCAGAGUGAAGAUGGAGAUAUUAUUGAUUGUAUUGAUAUUUAUAAGCAACCUGCCUUUGAUCAUCCUGCACUAAGAAGUCACACCAUUCAGAUGAGACCCAGUUAUGAUCCAGCCUUGGAGACAAGUGUGAAGAAAGAUGAGCUUCAUGGAGCAUUAGAGGCAUCACAGCUAUGGCGUAAGAGUGGAAGUUGCCCGGAAGGAACAAUUCCUAUUCGUAGAAUCCGGAAGCAGGACCUUCUCAGAGCAGAUUCUCUUGAAGAUUUUGGAAGGAAGUACCCAAGCUUUUCUACUAUAGCUGGAGACAUUCACCAAAAUAGUGGCAUUAACUAUACAAUAAAAGCAUAUAAUAAAGCAGCCAAUCAUUCGGUGGCAAUACUACUUUCUCAAGGUACUGCAUACUUAGGAGCUCAAGGAGACAUAAAUGUCUGGAACCCUUAUGUUGCAUCAGACGAUGAGUAUAGUGCUGCUGAGAUUUCCCUUAAGAACGGACCUUACGAUGAUUUUGAAAGUAUUGAAUCUGGAUGGGCGGUGAACCCAAAGGUUUACGGGGAUAGGCGUACACGGUUGUUUGCGUAUUGGACUACUGAUGCUUCGAAGAAGACGGGUUGUUUCGACCUCACUUGUCCUGGUUUUGUUCAAACUAGCAAGUCAAUAGCCCUUGGUUCUGUGUUUGAUACUAUUUCAAAAAUUCAAGGAGUUCAAUAUCAAAUAUCUAUAUCCAUUCAAAUGGAUACAAACACUGGAAAUUGGUGGUUGAAAUAUGGAGGCCAAAACAUAGGAUAUUGGCCCAAGAGUUUAUUUGUGGGCUUAAGUCAUAUGGCAUCUUCAGUUGAGUGGGGAGGAGAAGUGAAGAGCUCACAUAUAGGGCAGACUCAUCCUCAUACAGGCACAGACAUGGGAAGUGGACGCAUGGUGGGGGUUGGAUUUGGCUUUGAUUGCUUCAUUAGAAAUAUAAGGAUUCUGGAUAACUCAGUUACCUGGAAGUUCCCUACUUAUUCUUUCCCUUACACUGAUGAAUACUACUGUUACGACAUUUAUUACCAGAGACAAGGGGUCCCGGAACCUGAAUUCUACUUUGGAGGGCCAGGUUAUGAUGAGAUUAGAUGCCCAUGAAUGAAACUAGUUGUGGUAUAUUAGUGAGUUUCAAUCAGUGAUGUGUUUGUUUGAAGCUUAAAACUUUGUAAUAACUGGGAUUUCUAGCUAUGGUUUUCCUCUUGUCCUAGCGUAUUAGUAGUCUUUCAGUGUUUGUACUAGUAUGCAACAGUGUCUCUAUAUUGUUUAGGGCUUUUUGGCUCAAUAAAUCUUUGAAAAAUAUCUUCAAUAGGUUAAUACUUUGACAAGAUAGUUGGUGUGUUUUAUUUCCUUGGUUCAAUGUUUUGACAAUUAAGUUUUUUCUCUAAAAUCUAA